rnacentral:ncRNA from 1 species
UGGAGCUGUAUGAAGGUAAACUUUCACGUACAGUUCUUAGGGGGGAAAGCCCGUAAGGGCCUACCUAUCCAAAC